CUUUCCAGAGAGGGACCUUGUAAGGCUGACUUUGGAAUAUGACUGCAUUCUGGUGGAGAGAUUUCCAGUUUAAGAUGCCAUACUGAACAUAUACACUGAUCUCUUUGCCUUUGGAAACUCCAUUAAGCUGAUUGUAAAGGAGGAAAAGGAUUCUCACAUGACAAUGAAGAGACUGAAGAAGUAUCAUCAAUGGAUAAAGCAGAAUAGAAAUAGCAGCCGCCUGGACCAUACCUAGAAAGGAAUCAUUUUGCCUGGCAGAAGCAUGAAACAGUUCCAUAUUUGAGAUGGCAUUUACCACUGAGGGAAAAAAAAAGUAUCAUGUGAAAGAAGCAAGAAUUGGACUGACCACACACUUGUCAUUGCCAAUCAGAUGCUGCAAAACAAUGGAUCUGUUUUUCAGAGUUCUGAAAUAAAAUGCUAAUCAAACUAGAAUCUGCUUAGCUAAGACACUGCCAAAUAUGAAGACCAAAUAAAAGAUUU
rnacentral:lncRNA from 10 species